UACGUAGGUGGCAAGCGUUAUCCGGAAUUACUGGGCGUAAAGCGCACGCAGGCGGUCUUUUAAGUUUGACGUGAAAGCUCCCGGCUUAACUGGGAGAGGUCGUUGAAUACUGGAAGACUUGAGGCAAUGAGAGGGGUGUAGAAUUCCCGGUGUAGUGGUGGAAUGCGUAGAUAUCGGGGGGAAUACCAGUGGCGAAAGCGGCACCCUAGCGUUAGCCUGACGCUCAUGUGCGAAAUCGUGGGGAGCGAACGGG
rnacentral:rRNA from 1 species